rnacentral:ncRNA from 1 species
GUUUCGGGGCGGGGUGCGAUUCCCCACCGGCGGUGAGAGUCCGCGACCCGCGAAAGCGGCUGAAUCGGUGAAAUUCCGAUACCGACGGUAUAGUCCGGAUGAAAGAA